UUACAUGAGAAGGUUAUUUGCC
rnacentral:siRNA from 1 species